rnacentral:rRNA from 1 species
UACGAAGGGGGCUAGCGUUGCUCGGAAUCACUGGGCGUAAAGGGUGCGUAGGCGGGUCUUAAGUCAGGGGUGAAAUCCUGGAGCUCAACUCCAGAACUGCCUUUGAUACUGAGGAUCUUGAGUUCGGGAGAGGUGAGUGGAACUGCGAGUGUAGAGGUGAAAUUCGUAGAUAUUCGCAAGAACACCAGUGGCGAAGGCGGCUCACUGGCCCGAUACUGACGCUGAGGAGCGAAAAGCGUGGGGGAGCGAACAGG